rnacentral:rRNA from 1 species
GACGAACGCUGGCGGCGUGCUUAACACAUGCAAGUCGAACGAAGUGGCGAACGGGUGAGUAAUACGUGGGUAACCUUCCCUCCUUUUUGGGAUAAGCCUUGGAAACGGGGUCUAAUACCGCAUAAAGGGGGAUGGGCUCGCGGCCUAUGAGCUUGUUGGUGGGGUGAUGGCCUACCAAGGCGGUGACGGGUAGCCGGCUUGAGAGGGUGACCGGCAACGUUGGGAGUGAUAGACGGCCCAGACUCCUACGGGAGGGAGCAGUGGGGGAUAUUGCACAAGGGGCGAACGCCUGAUGCAGCGACGCCGCGUGGGGGAUGAAGGCUUUCGGGUUGUAAACCUCUGUCGCUAUCGAACGGGUAGGUAGAGAAGAAGCGCCGGCUAACUACGUGCCAGCCGCCGCGGUAAUAC